rnacentral:lncRNA from 1 species
AUGUCCCCUUCUGUGAACCUUCCAGUGUCCGGAACCGCCACCUGCUCCAGAAUGCUGGUACUUCAGAGCAAAAUGCCUGGUCCCAUUUCCUCACCUCCCACUCAUGCUUCAACCCACCAGAAGAUUUCUGUCCCUGCUGUGCUACAAGAAAAGCCUUGUCAAGAAUAACCUGUACAUGUUCAAGUAUGAGGAGACUUCCUAUAACCCAUGGAGGGUGCCGUGUGUGCUGCUGUGGGCUUUGUUCCUGCCGGGAGACGGAGUGCUCUCUUUUGCCGUUUUUAAAGAGCUGGAUGGUGGAUAGCAGGAAGGCCUCACAGAG